GAAGGACGUCCAUUACUCACUGGGAAACUCCAUAGCGGUAUCUGCAUAGACCUUCACUGGGUCCUCGCGGUUUCUCCCAUAGGUCCGUCUAUUGCCCAUUAAUUGGAAACGAAGCUCUUCUGAGGAUCUCUUGCACUUAUCCGGUUUUGGGCUCGCAGCCACCUAGGUCUACUCCUCUGGCGCGACACAAGACAGGAAGCUGACAUAAAAGAAUGAGGUGACCGGCUGUAAGCAACACAGGAGCCAAGGCAGGAGCCGAGACAGUAGCCACUGACGAGGUCGGAAGUUAUUGUCUCAGCUUACAGGCUUCCACAGUGACAAGAAUCUUAUCACUCCAUUGAACUUAUGUGAUCCCAUGGUGAUGGCCCCAAGUGUGGAGAGCAUUCCAGGACAGGAACCUCAUAAGUGGAGUUUCUCCCUGACCACAGGCUUUCAUAUAGCCUAUGAGUUAAGUAUUUAACUACCUUAAUACUGUAGUUGAGCUGCUUGCUGGCCAACAACACUGUGGUGCCAAAAAAAGACAACAGGUGUGUAACUGUAUAGACCACUUCUCUUACAACUAUUCCUGAAGAAUGUAAAGAGAGUUAUUUCAACUUCCCUGGCUAAAAUUGGGUUAACAAGACUGAGGGUCCGUCCCAGUACCUACAAUGUGUGCUCACGUGCCGUCAAGUAGUAUCAAAACAAGCUACAUGAUACUGCCAAAAUGAUAACAUGUGCACAAUGAAAAUGCCAACAUGCUGAUGUUUAGAGGGUAUAAGUUGCCAUGUUCACCACUUUAGUUUGGGAUGUUAGCAUGUUAACUUUUGCUGAUUAUCAGUUAACAGUAUGUACACCUCAGGCUUAUGGGAAUGUCAUUAGUUUUGCAGUCAUAAACCAAAGAAUUCAACAAAUUAAAAUGUUGACCCGAUUGUGGUGCUAGAGCAAUAUUUUAUUCAUCUCCUGGGCUCAGUUGACAUCUGUCCCAAAUUUCAUGGCAAUCCAACCUAUGCUUGUCAAGACAUUUCACUAAAAAAAGUCCAUCUGCUGGUGGCACUAGAGCACUAGAGAAAAAGUCAGGAAUUAACCAAAAUUGGUGGGUUUCAUCCUAAACAAAAUUUCAUUGCAAUCUAUACAGUAGCUGAGAUAUUUCAGUCUGAAUCAAAGCAGUGGAUCGACUGACCGACAUUACCAUGCAUAGGGCCACAGAAGGAGAAAGACUAAGACUAUUAAACCAAUUCCUUGUCCAGCGGUUUCCAACACUUUCUCUCAAAACUGAGAAUACUUCUGUUUUCUACUCAGCCAAAUAUUUCAUUAAUCAAAUAUUUCUGGCAUCUUGUUUUAAAUAAUCCCCAUUAUAUGGCUAGAAUACAAUCAAUUCUUACUUCAAAGAACUCAACCCAAGGCUGACACUCAACAUCCUUGCCUUUCUGGUUCAUUUACAAAGCACUGCUCUUGAAAAAGACUUAACCAUACCUGCCUUAUAUACUGUAAAAUUUAGCCCUUAAAUACCAAAAAUAUCACAUCCUCUCUCUGACCCUGCUCCCCCUUUUUCACCUUUGCCAAGACACAAGAAUAUGUCCCUUAUGUCUUAGGUCUUCAGAUAUUUCCCUACUCGGCCCAGUGAGCAAUUCUUUGGCUGUACCAUCAGGUUUUUUUCUCCUGGUCUGGUAUUCUUCCUGUUGCCAAACUGCCUUGUGUGGUAUUUUUUCUGGCCUAGCUGCCCCUGGCAUCACACCUUCUGUUCUUCUCUCAUCACUUGUCAUUUCCACUUCAUGAGCCCCCCCCCCACCGCACCACAUCGCACCCCACACACACCCAUUUGGCUGUCCUGUCUGCUAUUUCCCUGACUGUAUGCCCUGUACUUCUUGAGACUGCAUGUUUUACGUCCUAACUCAACCUUUCACCUACAUUCAUAUUCUGUACUAUGGCGAUAUGAAUAUAAAUUGAAAGAGCCCUUAGAUGUGCACACAUUGAUUUUAACUCUUAGUUUGCUGGAUUGGUUUCUUACACUUUAAUGUUCAAGAAAAAAAAAAAGACAGUAGACAAUUGUCCUAUUGUCUAACAUUAAGUGAUAAUCUGAUUACUCCAGCAUAUAUGUGCUUUCCGAUUUUUACAGCCAGAGUAAAUGGAGAAAAACACUAGAGCAUUAUUCUAAGCUAAACAUCUCCCUUGUGCCUUGCUCUCAUUUACCUUUCUCCAUUUGCACCAAAGGAAAAAAAGAAAUACUUUAUAUUCCACUGUAACUUCACUUUUUGGAUUCACCAUGUGCGCCACUUGCUUUCUUAUCUAAUCGACCAUGUUUUUUUUUUUCUUACUGGAUCAGCUCCACACAACUGCCUGGCUGCACUACAAAGGAACAUUCUUGCCAUUAGGUCUGCCACAUGUCAACCCCCUCCAUUUGAGUAUUUAGAAUUCUUGUGUUUCUUGUAGGAGUGUGUCAGGUAACCUGGUCUCAGACACUCAGCUGUUCAACAAAAUUGUUGGGACUUCUGUCUAGAAAAGGGACACUGUAGACCCCUCUUAAAACAAGACCUCAUGCUAGUGCAGCCAAGCAAACAUCUGAGAGGUGAGUGACCCUAAUACCAGCAAAACAGUAUGCUGGGACCAGGUGAAAGUUUUUACAGUCACAUGAGGCAAGGUGCAAAUGGGUCUUAAACUGUCUGGGAACAGAGAUCAGAAUGUCAGAACGACCUUGUAACAUGGCACAGCCAGGUGAACGGACAACCUACAUGGAAACGGUCAGACCUGGAAAUGCCUUUUGGACGAGAAGUGAAACGCCUUCAAGAACCUUAGCAAGUCCAGUUGCCUUUAACUUUACACUUCUAGAUAUACCAUAACCUGGAUGACAGACAAUCCUGAUGGAGGUCAGUGCUCUCAGUUGCAAUGAUUGGGACAACUCAAGUGCUGUGUGUGAAAAAUGGUAUGAUUUUUUUGAACGCUGUCUCCUAGAAAUGAGAUUUUUAUACAACCAAUUUGUUUUCCCAAACAUGUAAAGAAGGAAACAUAAUUGCCUCCUUGGAUUUUCUUGAGUGAAGUGUUACGUAUGCAUACUGCACAGAAGUAGUAGAAAUAUGACUGGGUGGAUGGUAGACAUACAAACCCAGGACUUUGACACUUUGAUAGGGGGGUCACCCUGUUGUUAGAUUUAGGUAACAGAAGUACUUAGGUUAAGGUUAGGCAAAGAUCCUGUUUUGGUUAAAUUUUAAUAAACAGCGGUCUCAUGCUUCAAGUCACAUUUGACUUUUUCAAUAUUUAACCAAUCUUUCCCAAACCUUGAUAAAGUGGUGUGACUGCCUAACAUAUUCUGUUGCAAGAGGCGAUGUUGUAGGGAAAACAAAUUAAAUGUGUUGUCAGUUUUAUGCAGAUUAAUUCUGUGUCAACAUUGUGCCAUGUACCGGAUACAUUAAUUGACAUCAUCUCCUCAUUAUGUUUAUAAAAAACAAUCCAGGUUGCAUCCCGUUGGCAGUGGAAGGGUUCAAAUAUCUCACAGUCAUAUUCACUAGCAAGGAUUAUCCAACUAACUGCCAACUGGAAUCACUUUGUGUGACCAAUAAUAAAGCAUGGACCCUCAGCAAUCUAAGACCUUGGUUUUGGAAUGUUUCUCUUCUAUGUUGAGAGGCGCCAACUAAGGGAGACAUCAAACAACAAACAAACAUUAUCUGGUGGGCCAUGCCAAGAUCAACACUUGCAUCACACACACACGCAUGCAUACACACACACAGAACAUUUGAUACAACACAUGAAAGGAUUAACCACACUGAUACAACUGAUCGCAUGGAGGUUAGGGAGAAGGUAAACAUGCCCAAUGUCUUAAAUAUGAUUUAGAAACCAUUAAUAAACAUUUCAACUGGCCACUCAUGGGAGGCACAGCAGCCAAAAUGCAAUACUACUGAAACUGGAUGGCUGAAACUAAAAUUGGUAUACCUGGUCUUAUCUGCAGGAAAAGCUUUGACAUGCCUGUUACACUAUGAACAAUAACUUAAUAGAGGCACACAAUCUGAAACGGUAUCAAAACCCCAUUUGAAAUAUGUGCAAUGAAAUUCAUAUGCAAAUAAAUACAUUUUAUGAAGUGUUGAGCAUAAUCAAAAACAUGACGGCACAAUGAGACAUUUGCCAUGAAACCUAUUCAAAUUUCCCACUUACGUCUAAGUGACACACAGUCAGUUCUUGUGCUAGAUCAGAUACUGCUAAUUUUACAACAGUAUUAAAACAGAACCAAAGCGUCCCAAAAUCUUAAACCACAGAUGUAAAUUUUUAGGCUUCUAAACAUAACUAGAAUCACAUAGCUGUUCAAACCACAAACUUACCACAUUAUGCACCAAAGCCUAACACCACAGAAGUUAAUGUAACUGCUCAGUUGCAACUAUUCCAUUCACAAAAUUCCUGUCGUACAAGAGAACAACAUGUUCUUUGCUGAUCUGUGGAGCACUUAAAAGAAAAUAAUUUUGGAUGAGAAAAAGGUCAAAAUACUCUAGGUCCAGAAAGAUCCUCUUCAGAAUGCAAUUGUAAAUUAUAUUAUUACAAUGGCUUUUUUUCAGGGAUAAAGAUCAAGAAUGACUGUAGUUGUGAUGUCAAGGAAUAAGACACUUCAGCGUGAAACCUACCCGGUUUCCCAUUUGGUCUGUCAUAUUUCCUCUCACGGGACUAGACAAGUGUUUCUGCUGCAGACAGGGGACACAAAGCACAUAGAGUGCAUGGCUGCGAAGCUGUCCCAUUCUUACCCCAAUGUCUGUUUAUUCUAGUAUGCUUGUUGCCUCCGAGAUAUUUUAAGUUCCAUUGUAGUUCUUCGAACUCUUUGUAGAAAUUCCUCAUGGGUUUGUUUUCAUGGCUACCAAUUUUAAUGGCUGAAUGAAAAACUACCCAUUCUUCAGUCAGGAUGAAACUAAUACUUGUCUGUCUCAGAUGAGAAACACAUUUAUAAAUAGGAUUUCUAUCACGCCAUCUCAUAAACAUUUAAAAGUGCUGCUGUAACUUAAAAAAAAACAAACAAGCCAAUUCUGUACAUGG